rnacentral:rRNA from 1 species
AGAGUUUGAUCCUGGCUCAGGACGAACGCUGGCGGCGUGCUUAAUACAUGCAAGUCGAGCGAGGUUACUGUUUUGGAUCCCUUCGGGGUGAAGAAGCUUUAACCUAGCGGCGGACGGGUGAGUAACGCGUGGGUAACCUACCCCAAAGUCCGGGAUAACAGCGGGAAACCGCUGCUAAUACCGGAUGUCUUUACCUUGGGGCAUCUUGAGGUAAAGAAAGGCAACGCUUUGGGAUGGGCCCGCGUCCCAUUAGCUAGUUGGUGAGGUAACGGCUCACCAAAGCGACGAUGGGUAGCCGGCCUGAGAGGGUGGACGGCCACACUGGGACUGAGACACGGCCCAGACUCCUACGGGAGGCAGCAGUAGGGAAUAUUGCGCAAUGGACGGAAGUCUGACGCAGCGACGCCGCGUGAGCGAUGAAGGUCUUCGGAUCGUAAAGCUCUGUCCUUGGGGAAGAAGGCGAAAGCUUGACGGUACCCAAGAAGAAAGCCCCGGCUAACUACGUGCCAGCAGCCGCGGUAAU